UUUUUUUUUUUUUUCUUUUAAGUUUAAGGCACUGUGUGAGGACAAAAGCACCUAACCCAGUCCUGGGUUCUGCCAGAACACAAAGCUCCAUGAGCAUAGGGAUCUUUGCCUCUUUUAUUCAUUACUAUCUCCAGCACCUAGAACAGUACCUAACAUAUAGUAAGUGGUAAAAAAUACAUACAGAAUAAACGACUGAGCAUCUCAGAGGAAGUAACCAACUAAAGAAGACAGAAUAUAUUUCAAGGGAAUAGAAUGUGCAAAAGCAUAAUAAGCAAUAAACAGCAUGGUCCCAGAGAUGUACAGAUAGUUCAAUAUGACUGGAGCAUAGAACACCUGUCAGGGAAUGUCAAGACCUACAAUUCUGAACAGGCACAGAGGAGAAAGUUCACAGGGGGACCUACACACCACACACCAUACUAAGGAGUUUGGGCUUUAUCCUGACAAUAAUGGAACAUUAAAGGAUCCCAAGAAGAAUGGCAGGGGCAUACUGAGUUUUAGAAAGAUCUCUCUGGAAUCACUUUGCCAGAAAUAGGAAUGAAUAGGAAAGAACUGUCUAGAGGCAGGAAGAUUAGGUAAGAGGCCACUGGAGCUCAGGCAAAAAUAAUGAGGGCCUGAAAUAAGACAGUGGCACAGGAAAUGGAGAAAGGCCAGAUUUAAGAGAGAUUUCGAAGACAGAGCUGACAAAACAUGAUAAGAGAUUAAUGUACAGGUGGGAUAGAAGAAGAAUUACUAGAUUUGGCUUGGGUAACUAGAAGGAUAAGGAAGAAUUCUCCAAAAGUAGGGAUUAUUGGGAAGAGUGGCUUUAGAAGAUGGGCUGAUGAGUUCCAUUUGAACAUGCUGAAUUAGAGGUGCUGAAUUGAAUCCAAGUAGAGAUAUGUAGCAGGAAAUUGGAUAUACAUAUCUUGUGCUUAGGAACACAGCCUGAACUCAAUCAACUUAUAAAUUUAGUAGUCAUCAGUGUUUAAGUGGUAGUAGAAAUUGAGGCCACAGGUAAAAUCAACCAGAAAGAAAACACAGAGUGAGAAAUGAGAAGUUCAAGUAUAACCCCCUGAAGGAAGGAAAAAAGAACCUGCAAAUAAUUCAAAGAUGCAGGAAAAGAAUGAAAGGGAAAAGAGUAGUAAUUACGCUGAUUUAGAGGAAACUAUCAAAAAGAAGUGCUUGUCGAAUAUUGCAAAAAGCUCUAUUAGUAUAAGGGCUGAUGAAGUAUCACUAAGGACAUUAACUAGGAUAUUUGGGGCAGGGGGUGGGAGGGGGAGUCAGCUUUCAGUGGAUGUGAAGUGAAUAAAUGCCAAGGAGGUGAAAACAGCAAGAUAUCUUUCAAGGAGAUUGGCUAUGGAAGAAAAGAGGGAGAAAAGAAUUAAAGGAUUUUUAUGAAGUGGGAAAGGCCAUUUAAAAAGUAUUGCCAUAUUAGUGCUGAAAUCUUGAUCUGCUUUCAGUCUUCAAUCCAAUGAUCACUGGUCUAAAUGUAGCAAGAUUUAAGACCUGUAGUCCCCAAUAAGUAGACAGAGUCUAAUCACCAUGUCUCUCAAGCUCGAGUUUUCUCUCAAGCUUGACCCUUUCUCUCUAGUUUUCUAGAUCUUUCAUGGGUAUCUCCAGGCUUUAAAAAGGAAACAAAAAAAACCUCCUUAUAUGACAGUU
rnacentral:lncRNA from 1 species